CGGCCGCUGAAGUAAACCAGGAUUAUGGUCUUGAUCCAAAGAUUGCUAAUGCAAUAAUGAAGGCAGCAGAUGAGGUAGCUGAAGGUAAAUUAAAUGAUCAUUUUCCUCUCGUGGUAUGGCAGACUGGAUCAGGAACUCAGACAAAUAUGAAUGUAAAUGAAGUCAUUAGCAAUAGAGCAAUUGAAAUGUUAGGAGGUGAACUUGGCAGCAAGAUACCUGUGCAUCCCAACGAUCAUGUUAAUAAAAGCCAGGUCAGUAUGUGAGCUUUGCUGUUUUUUGGUUAUAAAUUGAAAAGCAUACCUGAGAUUGUUCUUGUAAAACAAGCAUUCACUUUUUGACAAGAAGUGUUCA
rnacentral:lncRNA from 1 species